CGCGCGCCUGGGCGGUUGGAAGGCGGUUUUUUCCCUCGCGGUUCGGUCGAGUCUCAACGGCGACCGGGUCGACGCUGCGGUGGAAUGGAAAAGGGGAUGUGAGGAGUGGAAAACAACUAGAAAAUGUUAAUAAUUACAGAGAACUACGUUCCACUCCAAGGCAGCCACAAUGCAAGAAACUGGAACAACCCAAUUUUGAAAAAAGCCAAAAGCCACUGCACAGAGAAAGAGAGAGAAAAAAAAACAUUAUGCAGACAACAGAAGUAAGCCAACAGCUUUCUGAGCUAGUCCCAAAUCUGCUCCAGGAGCAGCCAGAGUUGGCCCAGGCCCUGGUCCCCAGUACAUGACGCUGGCGUGGCAGAAACCUGCAACAGCCAGAUCAGUUCACAGCUUUGGUGCUGAAGGAAUAAACAUUUGUGGGAGGGCGAGAAAUCAGUCUGACCCUCGCCUCUGUACCCAACAUUUGGGCCAAAGUUUGAAUUGUCCAAGCACUGAGUAAUGUGACGUUCUAGGACUUGGAUCUCGGGGCCGCAGUAUACUUGGGCUAUCCAGCCCGAAGCCAUUCCUGAUCUGACCAAAUUGGCUCGGUGAUUCAACCUCACCCGGAUUAGGUGAACCAGCAGCCAAACUUUUCGGCAUUGAUUCCUCUCCAUUAUCACUUAGUCCAUCUAUGGUGGUGAUACAAACUCUGUCUGCAUCACCUGCUUCUCGAUCACAUUGUACCUUACAAUGCCCCAGCAUGGCUCAUCCCGUGAACCAGCCUCAUCUCCGCCUGCCUCCUCACUCUGUGGCGAUAUGCUUCAGAAAAGAUGUUAUAAGUAAUGUUUUUAGUCAUUUCUCUUGCCUUAUGAUUUACCAGUAAACCAGGGGUCACCAACCAUUUUUGCACCAUGGACUGGUUUAAUAUUGACAAUAUUCUUGCGGACCAGGUGUUAAUCACAACUGGAAUACAGGUGAUAAGUCAACUAUAAGUCACUUAUAAGUGACGAAUAAACUCAAAAAAAGUUUGGCUGGAGGAAUGAUUUUAAGUAGAUCUCAGCGAGAUAGCCACUCUGCUACUUACGAAACCCUGAGCCUGAAUGAGGUCGUCUGCGAAUAUUUAUCACUGUAUUUCCCACGAACAUUUGGUGUGCUAAACAGGUUUAGAGGUGGUGCCCAUUUGUCUGUGCUCCGGAACAGUGGCAACGGCACUUCUGGCUGGCUGCCCCAGGCCAUCAGUGAUCCCUGGCGCUAAGGCGACUGAUGACCUCGCGGGCAUUCAAUUUCAACAGUGGGUAUGACAGAGAAUGAGGAAAGGUGCAGCUGACUCAUAUCGUUUCAUAUCACCAAAUCAUAUCAUUUCCCCGUGGCCCAGUGGCACAUGCUUUGCGGCCUGGUGGUUGGGGACCACUGCAGUAAACUGUCACACAUCUUCGGUAGCUCAAUCUUAAAGUGGAAAUGUCUUUUGUUUAAAAUAUAUGAGCUGUUCCUUAAGAAUACAGGACAUUUGUAUUGAACUUGAAGCGAUUACUGUAUAAUUCAGUUCAGACGUGAAAUCCAGUGAGUGGCUGUUAGGUGGGCAAAAACACCUUGUUAUUGAUAGAGGUUAGUGCAGAAAGGCUGUUCUGGUUCAACCUGACAGGAAGGUGUAGUAACUAAAAUAAUCACACAUUACAAAAGUAGUGUGCAGAACAGCAUCUCUGAACGUAGAAUACAUUAAAUGAAGUGGUUGGGAUAUCAGCAGAAGACCAUGAACAUGCACUGAUUGCCAAUUUUCGGGUACAGGAGGCCACUGGGUGUAUUCUUUAUAAAAUAUUUGAUAUAACAAUCUCUCAGUUUGUGUCUCACACACACAACUAAUUUAUACUACCAUUUUUUUUGCCUUCAUCCGCUUCACAAGAAUUGGAAUUCCAACCUGUGUUUUGCAAGCUCAAGGGACUCCUUUUUCAAAUUCCUUGAUUUCACUACCCUAUAUUCGGGCACCGGUUUCCUAACUGGAAAGCUUUGUCGCCUCUAUGUCACUCCCUUCCACUUCUCUGCUGGAUUCUUGGCUUUUCAAGUUCCUCGUGACUGUACCCUUUUGUGACUUGACCUCUCCCUCGGUUGCUUCCUAUAUCCCCAGCUGACCUCACCACCACCGAUUCCAUUCUCACAUUCAGUUGCACCUUUCGCUCACCGACUUGCACAUUAGUGGUAUCACCUGACCCACCUCCCAGUCUCUUCAUCUCAGCUCUUGCUCUUCUCGGACCAUUCCAUUUUUUCUUCACGCUUUUCACACCGUCAUUGCCAGGCUCAGGCCUUCCAACUGCCAGUUCAAGAGGUUUGAUUCCCUGUUCCUUUCCUCUGUCACCUGGUCUCAUAAUAGCCCCUAAAAUCUGGCUCCCAGAUUCCUUGCUCUUAGCACUGAGUAACUUGCCCUCAGAUCCAGUCUACCUUCACCAGAUGCAGGUUCCGUACUUCCUGAUCUGGUUCCCUCUCCCAGAUCCAGGCUUGCAGCCUCCAGCUCCACUGCCUUCAUUUUCAUGUCCAGUAAUCCAGUUCAUGCUCUCCAAUCUCCCAGCUGGGCCAUGCCAGUUUUGGGCUUGGUUGCCCAGUAUUGGCACCCUUCCUGAUGAGCAUCUGGUGGGCCCAACAACCAAAGAUAAUGGCAGCCCAGUCUGUUGACUGUCCAAGGAUUACCAAUGAGUAGACAAAUCCAUUGGUCAAGUGUGAGGCUGCUUGCCUGUUCCAUGUGAGCUGUAAAUGAUAUUCCAGAGACAAAGUAAUAAGAUAUUGCUUUUUCUGGUAAAGGGAAGCAGAGAUCUGAGGAAGGGGCUGUUUUAGGGACAGCUGUUUUGCGGUUGUCUGCAAUGCUGCAGUUAUCAGCAUUGAACAGUUCUGUAGUACAAUCAGAUGGUCUCAUGACUUCACAACCUGCCUUAUGAUCUUGCACGUGACUACAAGAAAAUGUGUGGAUACAGCUUGGCAUGUCACAGAAGUCAACCUUUCAUUUCUACUUCUACAGUUGUCACAGCCUCAGUGAAGUAGCCAGCAGAAUCAAAGGCCUCCUCCCAUACCCCACAUUCUUUCUAAUCCUCUUAUGUAUUAGCGCUGUUUUGCAGUUUAGCCAUAGCAGGAGGGUGGUUCUGUUGGGUUUCACUGACCUGUACUUUUAAAAUGACAUAAAGGCUGCAGUUUUCUGCAGUGGGGUCAUCUCUCAGAAAUAGCUAAACUGCAGAGAGGUGAGAACGUGUGAAAUUUACUAUCUACUUAUACUAUCGCUACCUACUACAACUUUCAUUAAGUCUCAGAUACAGUACUUGUAUUUUGAAAGGAAGUUCAAUUCACUUGGCAACUACAUGCUUUUUAUUGCCACACAGAAUUUGCAUUUGUAAAAGCCUUUUUUUAAAAAAAAUGUGAUGUGUAUCUUAAGAAUGGCAUAACAAGCUAGUUUUUUCCAUGCAUAUUCAAUAUUAAUACUUUUUUCAUGUGAGAUUUUGCCAGUGAGGGAUUUUUUUUUACCCAAAAGCCCAAGGUGAAACUGUAUUUGAAAAAGUCUAGGGCUAUUUCUUGGAAAAAAAUAUUCUGUUGGAGAAUAUAAUGGCUUGGGUAACUGGUGGAGCUGCUUGGAUGGUAUGAAGAUGCAGGAUUCAUUGCUCUUAUAAAAAAAAAUUUCUUUGCCUGAUGCUUUUUGCUUGCACUGUGUCUUCCACUAUCAGCAUUUGGUUGCAAAAUAUUGAGAUUUACAUGACACCCUUGCAUUUGUAAUUAUAGCUGUCAACUUCAUCAAAUCAAACAACUUUAAUAAGAAAAUUUUGAACAGCAAAUAAUGAUACAGAGAUGGGAUAUUUAUCCAAAGAUAAUUGUAUUUGUUGUGUUGUUGCACUUUGGGAUAGUAUUCAAGCAUUUCUAUGUGAUGAACAACUUGGAUAGCAAAUUAUCACUGUGCACCUUGGCCCAGAGACCUGCUGAAGAUGCAUAUACCAAAUCGGGUGGUGGAACCAUUUAGAGUGAAUGUGAAAUAAUUACCCCAAACUGUAAGAACGUCCUAUUGAGCUGCAGAGUGAUUUAACAGCUCAAACAAAAUUCAAAUGCAGCAAGCAAAAUUUCUGGAUAACCAUUGACAUUCACAAUAAGUUUCCUCAGCUCUAGGAGAAAACAAAAUUGUUUUAAUUGAAUUUCCCACCUUUACAAUUUUAAUUGAAUUUCCCAGUCCUGCCAAAGGGUUUUGGCCAGAAACGUCAACUGUACUCUUUAUCUAGUUUGUGUUGCUCAGAUUUCAAGCAUCUGCGGAUUUUCUCGUUUGUGAUUGGAUUCUCACUUUUUGUCUAGUUGAAUGUCGUUUUAGUCAAGCUCUUCACCUGGUAUCAAAGCCCUGUAACUGUCUUGAUGUUGUGAAAAGAGAUCUUCAAUUACCUUUAACCAAGUUGCAACCAGAUAUUCAAAAAUUCACUAGUUUGCAUCAGCACAAGGAGCUCACUAAAUACACAAAGUAACAAUAUUAAGCACCACUUUGUUGCUUGGAAAAAUAUUACAUAGACAGUAUUAUAAAUAAGGUAUACUAUUAGAGCUUUGAAAUAGUUUUAUUUUUGACAUACAGCUGUAACAUUAUAUUUAACAAACUUAAAAACAAUUAUUGAUUGUAGAUUAACAUAUUUGGUACGGUUGAUAAAAAGCUUCAGCAACUAAUGCAGAUUGGGUAGGAUGAGGGUCACAGACUUAAGUUAAAUUCACAAGUGGGUCUCAAGCAGAGAAAGGUUGACAACCACAGCCUUAUGGUCUUAUGUCAGGAAACGUGACUUGGAGGAGAAGUGAUUCCCAUGUCCCUGUUGCUUUUGACCUCCUACAUGGCAUGGAGGCCAUUGUUGGAGUUGACAAUGGGCGAUGUAGUACCCUUAGUCCCUGGCUUAACUCUCUCGCCCACUCCACAAACAAGACCUGUCCAAGCGCUCUGUCUUAUUUAAGCUGGAGUUUCUCCUCUUGAGUUUGGGGAGACCAUAGGUCCAUCACUGACAUCAUCCAUAGAUCCAUCACUGACAUCACUGGCCUCCAGGUUCAGUUUCUUCCUCAAUUUAAAAGCAAUGGUGAAGCUGCAUCAGUGGGCAUCUCUAUGGCAUUCCGCUGCAGAGGAUCAGUUUGGGGAGAGAGUAAAACAGCAGAGGUCAGAACGAGAUUCUGCUGCUGCUGGAAAUCCAAAGUAACACAGAAUUAUUUAUUGUUGCUUAAAUGGAAGGAUGCCACUCUGCCUUCUCAUAGGUUACAUGAUGUUAAGUCUUGCUUAAAUUUAGAGAAGAUUUGCUGUUCAAUUUCUGAACCUGGACAAGAUUUUUUAACAUCGUGGGGACCUUUUUUGAAUUACUUUCAAAAUCUUUGAUUUGCUAUUAAGCACAGAUGUUGGCUAAUAUGUUUUGCUAUAUGUUAAGGGUUUUUUUAAAACCGAACAGCUGUUUUUUUUUUUGUUUCUGGUAGUGGGUUUAAAUUUUUUAUAUAGUAAAAUUAUUUAUUUUCAAUUUUAUGUUUAAAUGUAAUCUAUAGGGAUAUGGGGUAAUUACACCUCUUCUGUGAUUUCAAUAUAUUGUAAUCGAUAUAUAUCUUACUGUACUCUGUAUUUGUUUAUGUAAGAAAUUAAUAAAAAUAUUGAAAAAGAAAGAAAUACAGUGCAUAACAGGUCCUUCCAGACCAAUACGCCUCACUGCCCAGCAGCCUGCCUACUUAAUAAUAGCCUAACCACAGGACAAUUUAGAAUAAUCAAUUAACCAACUUACUGAUACAUCUUUGGACUGUGAGAGGAAACCCAUGCAGUAACAGAGGGAAAAUAUAAACUCCUUACCAGAAUUGAACUCAAUAUUCUGAUGCCCCAAGCUGCAAAAGUGUUGUGCUAACUGAUCUGCUGCCAUAGAAACAUAGAAAACAUACAGCACAAUACAGGCCCUUUGGCCCAUAAUGCUGUGCCAAAUGUACUUAUUUUAGAAAUUACCUAGGGUUACCCUUAGCCCUCUAUUUUUUCUAAGCUCCAUGUACCUAUCCAGGAGUGCAGAUGUACUAUUUAAAAGGUGGGUCUCAUUACAGCUGCAAGAAUUAUAUUGCAAAGCUGGAAAAAACCCAGAUAUCCCACUGUGAGGGAAUGGACUGAGGAAAUGUUUAAGAUUUCAUCAUAUGAACAUAUGUUGGGAAGUAUUAACAGUGAGGGAAAAAUGCAAGAUGCAUGGGAUCAAUUUUGGUUGUAUGUUAAUUUAAACUUAAAUUAGAUAUUUUUUCUGAUUCUUAGUUUUAUAUGUUUUCCUGUCAUGGGAUGGCUGUGUAAAUAUGCUGUACUGUUCUGUAAAAUAAGAAUUAAUAAUAAAAAUUUAAAUUACGAAAGAAA